rnacentral:rRNA from 2 species
UGGUGCUUGCAUCAUGAUUUACAUUUGAGUGAGUGGCGAACUGGUGAGUAACACGUGGGAAACCUGCCCAGAAGCGGGGGAUAACACCUGGAAACAGAUGCUAAUACCGCAUAACAACUUGGACCGCAUGGUCCGAGCUUGAAAGAUGGCUUCGGCUAUCACUUUUGGAUGGUCCCGCGGCGUAUUAGCUAGAUGGUGGGGUAACGGCUCACCAUGGCAAUGAUACGUAGCCGACCUGAGAGGGUAAUCGGCCACAUUGGGACUGAGACACGGCCCAAACUCCUACGGGAGGCAGCAGUAGGGAAUCUUCCACAAUGGACGAAAGUCUGAUGGAGCAACGCCGCGUGAGUGAAGAAGGGUUUCGGCUCGUAAAACUCUGUUGUUAAAGAAGAACAUAUCUGAGAGUAACUGUUCAGGUAUUGACGGUAUUUAACCAGAAAGCCACGGCUAACUACGUGCCAGCAGCCGCGGUAAUACGUAGGUGGCAAGCGUUGUCCGGAUUUAUUGGGCGUAAAGCGAGCGCAGGCGGUUUUUUAAGUCUGAUGUGAAAGCCUUCGGCUCAACCGAAGAAGUGCAUCGGAAACUGGGAAACUUGAGUGCAGAAGAGGACAGUGGAACUCCAUGUGUAGCGGUGAAAUGCGUAGAUAUAUGGAAGAACACCAGUGGCGAAGGCGGCUGUCUGGUCUGUAACUGACGCUGAGGCUCGAAAGUAUGGGUAGCAAACAGGAUUAGAUACCCUGGUAGUCCAUACCGUAAACGAUGAAUGCUAAGUGUUGGAGGGUUUCCGCCCUUCAGUGCUGCAGCUAACGCAUUAAGCAUUCCGCCUGGGGAGUACGGCCGCAAGGCUGAAACUCAAAGGAAUUGACGGGGGCCCGCACAAGCGGUGGAGCAUGUGGUUUAAUUCGAAGCUACGCGAAGAACCUUACCAGGUCUUGACAUACUAUGCAAAUCUAAGAGAUUAGACGUUCCCUUCGGGGACAUGGAUACAGGUGGGUGCAUGGUUGUCGUCAGCUCCUGUCGUGAAAUGUUUGGGUUAAGUCCCCGCACCGA